rnacentral:rRNA from 1 species
UAUACCGUGAAACUGCGAAUGGCUCAUUAAAUCAGUUAUCGUUUAUUUGAUAGUACCUUACUACUUGGAUACCCGUGGUAAUUCUAGAGCUAAUACAUGCAAAAAACCCCAACUUCGGGAGGGGUGUAUUUAUUAGAUAAAAAACCAAUGCCCUUCGGGGCUCUUUGGUGAUUCAUGAUAACUUAACGGAUCGCAUGGCCUUGCGCCGGCGACGGUUCAUUCAAAUUUCUGCCCUAUCAACUUUCGAUGGUAAGGUAUUGGCUUACCAUGGUUUCAACGGGUAACGGAUUUUUAGGGAAAGAUCCCGGAGAGGGAGCCUGAGAAACGGCUACCACAUCCAAGGAAGGCAGCAGGCGCGCAAAUUACCCAAUCCCGACACGGGGAGGUAGUGACAAUAAAUACUGAUACAGGGCUCUUUUGGGUCUUGUAAUCGGAAUGAGUACAAUUUAAAUACCUUAACGAGGAACAAUUGGAGGGCAAGUCUGGUGCCAGCAGCCGCGGUAAUUCCAGCUCCAAUAGCGUAUAUUAAAGUUGUUGCAGUUAAAAAGCUCGUAGUUGAACCUUGGGCCUGGCUGGCCGGUCCGCCUCACCGCGUGUACUGGUCCGGCCGGGCCUUUCCUUCUGGAGAACCGCAUGCCCUUCACUGGGUGUGUCGGGGAACCAGGACUUUUACUUUGAGAAAAUUAGAGUGUUCAAAGCAGGCCUUUGCUCGAAUACGUUAGCAUGGAAUAAUAGAAUAGGACGUGCGGUCCUAUUUUGUUGGUUUCUAGAACCGCCGUAAUGAUUAAUAGGGAUAGUCGGGGGCGUCAGUAUUCAAUUGUCAGAGGUGAAAUUCUUGGAUCUAUUGAAGACUAACUACUGCGAAAGCAUUCGCCAAGGAUGUUUUCAUUAAUCAGUGAACGAAAGUUAGGGGAUCGAAGACGAUCAGAUACCGUCGUAGUCUUAACCGUAAACUAUGCCGACUAGGGAUCGGGCGAUGUUUCUAUAUUGACUCGCUCGGCACCUUACGAGAAAUCAUAA